GACGAACGCUGGCGGCGUGCUUAACACAUGCAAGUCGAACGAAGAGCGAUGGAAGCUUGCUUCUAUCAAUCUUAGUGGCGAACGGGUGAGUAACGCGUAAUCAACCUGCCCUUCAGAGGGGGACAACAGUUGGAAACGACUGCUAAUACCGCAUACGAUCUAAUCUCGGCAUCGAGGAUAGAUGAAAGGUGGCCUCUACAUGUAAGCUAUCACUGAAGGAGGGGAUUGCGUCUGAUUAGCUAGUUGGAGGGGUAACGGCCCACCAAGGCGAUGAUCAGUAGCCGGUCUGAGAGGAUGAACGGCCACAUUGGGACUGUGACACGGCCCAGACUCCUACGGGAGGCAGCAGUGGGGAAUCUUCCGCAAUGGACGAAAGUCUGACGGAGCAACGCCGCGUGAGUGAUGACGGCCUUCGGGUUGUAAAGCUCUGUUAAUCGGGACGAAAGGCCUUCUUGCGAACAGUUAGAAGGAUUGACGGUACCGGAAUAGAAAGCCACGGCUAACUACGUG
rnacentral:rRNA from 1 species